rnacentral:rRNA from 1 species
CAGCCGCCGCGGGAAUACGAAGGUCCCGAGCGUUGUUCGGAAUCACUGGGCGUAAAGGGAGCGUAGGCGGCGUGGUAAGUCAGAUGUGAAAUCCCGGGGCUCAACCCCGGAACUGCAUCCGAUACUGCCAUGCUAGAGGAUUGGAGAGGUAGCUGGAAUUCUUGGUGUAGCAGUGAAAUGCGUGGAGAUCAAGAGGAACACUCGUGGCGAAAGCGAGCUACUGGACAAUAACUGACGCUGAGGCUCGAAGGCCAGGGUAGCGAAAGGGAUUAGAUACCCGAGUAGUCCCUGUCUCUUAUAC